UUCGCAAUGCCCGAAAGGGUGACGAAGCGACGCCGCGUGGGUGAGGAAGGCCUUCGGGUUGUAAAGCCCUGUCAGGAGUUAAGAAAUGUAAGUGUGCUAAUAUCGCAUUUACUUGACGAAGGCUCCAAAGGAGGUCACGGCUAACUCUGUGCCAGCAGCCGCGGUAAUACAGAGGUGGCAAGCGUUGUUCGGAAUUAUUGGGCGUAAAGAGCACGUAGGUGGGUUUGUAAGUCAGAUGUGAAAGCCUUCUGUUCAACGGAAGAAUUGCAUCUGAAACUGCAAGUCUUGAGUGUAGGAGGGGAGAAUGGAACUUCUGGUGGAGCGGUGAAAUGCGUAGAUAUCAGAAGGAACGCCGGCGGCGAAAGCGAUUCUCUGGCCUAUUACUGACACUCAGUGUGCGAAAGCUAGGGGAGCAAACGGGAUUAGAUACCCCGGUAGUCCUAGCCGUAAACGAUGGGCACUAAGUAGAGGGGUUUU
rnacentral:rRNA from 1 species